GCUCUCGCUCACCUUUAACCUGGCAUCAGGUAACGCGAGGUUUACGCUUGUAGGAGCUAACGGGCACGUUUAUCCUAAAUCAGGCACUUAAAGACGUAAAUAUGGAUAUAUAAUGGCGUAAUUGGCAGACACAACAAGACUUCCAGCAGAUCUGGCCUGGUAUCAGACGACAGACUGUGUGUUUCGGGAGGAGAAAGUGUCGAAAUUUCGACAGAAUGGCAAACUAGCAUUAGCGUUAGCUCUACAGCUAGCGCCCCGCUGGCGGCACCGCUGUCCCCUUUCUGCGGGACACGACAUCGUGUGUCGGCUCUUCUAAAUAGGCUCCUUCACUGAAACUACAUCAUGCAGAGAGCAGAUUUUGUCAAGACAGAGCACGUAUGUGGGAGUUGAAGGAUUCGAUACUUCAUAUACCCCUGAAACGUUUUGUGCUUGGUUCCUGGGUGGUGGCUGCAGUAGGUUGUUGUCUGAGGACCGGAGAAGUGAGCUAAGUGAGGAUCCUGGUUGAGGAGAAGGAGGACUUUGAACUGGAUGCGUUGUGGGAUGGGAAACCAGUGCAGGCUCUGGAGGACAGAGCUGACAUAGGUGGAAGGGCGAACGGGUCACCCGUCCAUCACAAGGCCGCAUAUACUGUAGAGACAAACAACC